rnacentral:snRNA from 12 species
UUACUGAAAUGGUCUUGCGGUGUGAUUAUUUUUUUUAUCUUGUUCAUGUCCUCUUCUUGUCAUUUUAGUGGNCCGGCCGCGCUGACCCAUGCGAAAUGUGGGAAUCUCGAAUGCAUAAUUUAUGGUAGUGGGGGACUGCGUUCGCGCUCUCCCCUG